rnacentral:rRNA from 1 species
CCCUUAGACGUUCUGGGCCGCACGCGCGCUACACUGACCAGUGCAACAAGCAUCCGUCCUUGGCCGACAGGCCCGGGCAAUCUUUGAACGCUGGUCGUGAUGGGGAUAGACUUUUGCAAUUUUUGUUCUUCAACGAGGAAUUCCUAGUAAACGCAAGUCAUCAACUUGCAUUGAUUACGUCCCUGCCCUUUGUACACACCGCCCGUCGCACCUACCGAUUGAAUGGUCCGGUGAAGCCUCCGGAUUGGCGCGCACCUCGGUGCCGCCGAGAAGUUGGCUAAACCUUACCAUUUAGAGGAAGGUGAAGUCGUAACA